rnacentral:rRNA from 1 species
AUGGAGGAGCCGAUGUCCAGGCUCACCCCCGACCUAAUCGUGGAGAUCCUCGGUCGGGUGCCCUACAAAUCACUCUGCAUCUGCAAGCGCGUCUGCCCGGCCUGGCGCGACCUCAUCGCCGACCCCGCCAACCGGAAGAAGGUUGUGCAGUCGCUGGCCGGCUUCUUCUACCACACCACCGACGGAGCCACGGCCGACUCCGCCGAGCGCCGCGGCCACGCCGUCAACUACGCCGACCUGUCCGCCUCCCCUUGGUCCCACAUCCCCCCGACCCACCCGCGCCUGCCACUGCCGCCCGACUGCGCGGACCGCUUCUUCUCCGUCGAGGACUCCCGCGAUGGAUUGUUUCUUAGCCGCAUUCGCACGGGCGCCCCCGCCGGAAAUUUUCGGUACAUGGUCUCCAACCCAGCUACCAGUGAGUACACUCUGCUGCCUCACUCUGGCUACGAUGGUCGCCGCUGCGCCUCUUACUUGGGUUUCGACAGCAUUGUGUCCACCGAGGAGUUCCAUGUGUUCGAGUUUGUGCUGGAAUCGCUGACCCAGGAUUGGGUUGUGACUUGUGAGAGGGGUGAGGAUUUACUCCUCAAAGACUGGUGCGUGGGUGGCAAUGAAACCCCAAUGGCACAUCAAAGUUAG